rnacentral:rRNA from 1 species
GUGGGGAAUAUUGGACAAUGGGCGCAAGCCUGAUCCAGCAAUGCCGCGUGGGUGAAGAAGGUCUUCGGAUCGUAAAGCCCUUUCGACAGGGACGAUGAUGACGGUACCUGUAGAAGAAGCCCCGGCUAACUUCGUGCCAGCAGCCGCGGUAAUACGAAGGGGGCUAGCGUUACUCGGAAUUACUGGGCGUAAAGGGCGCGUAGGCGGCUCUGUUAGUCCGGCGUGAAAUUCCUGGGCUUAACCUGGGGACUGCGCUUGAUACUGCAGGGCUUGAGGCCGAGAGAGGGUGGUGGAAUUCCCAGUGUAGAGGUGAAAUUCGUAGAUAUUGGGAAGAACACCGGUGGCGAAGGCGACCACCUGGCUCGGUUCUGACGCUGAGGCGCGACAGCGUGGGGAGCAAACAGGAUUAGAUACCCGUGUAGUCC